GAUGAACGCUAGCGACAGGCUUAACACAUGCAAGUCGGAGGGGCAUCGACGGGAGUAGCAAUACAACUGGUGGCGACCGGCGCGACGGGUGAGUAACGCGUAUGCAACCUACCUAUCAGGAGGGGAAUAACCCGGCGAAAGUCGGACUAAUACCGCAUAAAACAGGGGCACCGCAUGGUGAUAUUUGUUAAAGAAAUUCGCUGAUAGAUGGGCAUGCGUUCCAUUAGGUAGUUGGUGAGGUAACGGCUCACCAAGCCGACGAUGGAUAGGGGAACUGAGAGGUUGGUCCCCCACACUGGUACUGAGACACGGACCAGACUCCUACGGGAGGCAGCAGUGAGGAAUAUUGGUCAAUGGGCGGGAGCCUGAACCAGCCAAGUCGCGUGAAGGAAGAAGGAUCUAUGGUUCGUAAACUUCUUUUGCAGGGGAAUAAAGUGCAGGACGUGUCCUGUUUUGUAUGUACCCUGAGAAUAAGGAUCGGCUAACUCCGUG
rnacentral:rRNA from 1 species